GAUUUUUUGACAAUGUACUAACAUUAUUAUGUAUAAAUGGUCUAUCGUUAUUUUGGUCUUUCAUCUAUAGUACAGCUUUCAUAUUUCAUCACCUACGAAUGUUGAUAAUAAAUAGGAUCGAAAAACUGUUGUUACUUUAUUUCAUUACAUGUACUAACAUGACAAUCAUUAUAAAAUCCAAGUGCUGUAUUCCAAAACCAAGAUGUUUCAUUAUCUGUGAAUUAUGCUAACAAAAAAGGUGAUUCUAUAAGGAGGUAUAUCCAGUUUACAACUACUAUGCAUUUUACUAAAUCCAUAUGGAUUUUCUUAAUUUUUUUGAAUUUUCUUGAUUUUUUAAAUGUUUUUUUAGUUAAAUUAAUUUUGUUACAGUACUUUAAAGUGGGUCUCAUUGGGGUCUAAGCGUGACACGGGAUUGCUGAUUUUUUGAAAGCAUGACACAUGAAAGUCAAAUUAUUGUGCCAUGAAAAAGGGAAAUGAAGUCUAGUGGGACACGUGAAAUUACAAAAAAAUGAGAAUUACUUAUGUACAUAGUGUAGCGGGAUACAGGAAUCUGUCAAAACAGUAAGCAGGGUCCGGGAUCAGAACCCCCCAAUGAGACCCCCUUUAAAAACAAAAUCAAGUCUUUUCUUCAUGAGUCACUUGAUUAAAAGAUCAGUUUACUUACAUUUUUAAACUGAUCAAAUUAGAUAUUUAUUUUAAUCUGUUAAUAUCUUUGCUUUUUUAAAUGCAUGUUCAAAUAAUAGAAUUUUUUUCUCAAUUGACAUUUAUUGAGGAUGGAUUAUCAUAUUUAUAGAAUUUUAUAUGUUUUGUAUAUGUGUAUGGUGUCUCUGUGCAAAAUUUUGUGAAUCACAUACAAAAAUGGAUUUACAUUGUUUUAAAAGUAAAAAUUCUAUUUUGGUUCACUUGUAGUAGAGUUUGUUAGGCUUAUAAUGUUACUAAGACUGUCUAUUUUGUUGCUCUUUUCUCUUUUCUUUUAGUGAUUGUAAAAGGUGGACUGAAAUUAAUAUAUAUCUAUAUUUUUCAAUGCAGAUCAAAUACAAGAGAUAUAUAACAAGAAGAUACUUUUUGUGAAUUCAUU
rnacentral:lncRNA from 1 species